rnacentral:rRNA from 1 species
GACAAACGCUGGCGGCGUGCUUAACACAUGCAAGUCGAACGGUGAACUCCGCUUGCGGGGGGAUCAGUGGCGAACGGGUGAGUAACACGUGGGCAACCUGCCCUCAGCUCUGGGAUAACUCCAAGAAAUUGGGGCUAAUACCGGAUAUGACCGCUGACCGCAUGGUCUGGUGGUGGAAAGAUUUAUCGGCUGGGGAUGGGCCCGCGGCCUAUCAGCUUGUUGGUGGGGUAGUGGCCUACCAAGGCGACGACGGGUAGCCGGCCUGAGAGGGUGACCGGCCACACUGGGACUGAGACACGGCCCAGACUCCUACGGGAGGCAGCAGUGGGGAAUAUUGCGCAAUGGGCGAAAGCCUGACGCAGCGACGCCGCGUGGGGGAUGACGGCCUUCGGGUUGUAAACCUCUUUCAGCAGGGACGAAGCGAAAGUGACGGUACCUGCAGAAGAAGCACCGGCCAACUACGUG